UGCCCUUUUUCGGUUAUCGUGGUACUGAUGCUGUGUAUGCAAAAAGGUACAGUACUGUGAUAACUGAAGAAUGGUG